GAUGAACGCUGGCGGUAUGCUUAACACAUGCAAGUCGAACGGACUCUUCGUAGUUAUUGGCGGUCGUGUGAGUAACGCGUGGGAAUCUGGCUUUGGGUUCGGGACAACCACUGUAAACGGUGGCUAAUACCGGAUGUGCCGAUAGGUAAAAGAGAAAUUGCCUGAAGAUGAGCUCGCGUCUGAUUAGCUAGUUGGUGAGUUAAAGGCUCACCAAGGCAGCGAUCAGUAGCUGGUCUGAGAGGAUGAGCAGCCACACUGGGACUGAGACACGGCCGAGACUCAUACGGGAGACAGGAGUGGGAAAUUUUACGAAAUGGGCGAAAGCCUGACGGAGAAAUCGCGCGUGAGAGAAGAAGGCUCUUGGGUUGUAAAACUCUUUUCUUAGGGAAGAACAAAGUGACGGUAACUAAGGAAUAAGCACCGGCUAACUACGUG
rnacentral:rRNA from 1 species